rnacentral:tRNA from 1 species
AACGAUGUAGUUUAACAAGAAUAUUGGGUUUGCGUCUCAGAGGUGGAUUAGUUUCUUUUCGUUA